rnacentral:rRNA from 1 species
GGCGAACGCUGGCGGCAGGCUUAACACAUGCGAGUCGAGCGGGCCCUUCGGGGUCAGCGGCGGACGGGUGAGUAACGCGUGGGAACGUGCCUUCUGGUCUGGAAUAACCCUGGGAAACUAGGGCUAAUACCGGAUACGCCCUUUUGGGGAAAGGUUUACUGCCGGAAGAUCGGCCCGCGUCUGAUUAGCUAGUUGGUGGGGUAAUGGCCUACCAAGGCGACGAUCAGUAGCUGGUCUGAGAGGAUGAUCAGCCACACUGGGACUGAGACACGGCCCAGACUCCUACGGGAGGCAGCAGUGGGGAAUAUUGGACAAUGGGCGCAAGCCUGAUCCAGCCAUGCCGCGUGAGUGAUGAAGGCCUUAGGGUUGUAAAGCUCUUUUAUCCGGGACGAUAAUGACGGUACCGGAGGAAUAAGCCCUGGCUAACUUCGUGCCAGCCGCCGCUGUAACAC